rnacentral:rRNA from 1 species
GGGACGUUGGCAACGACGACCCAGUGCCGGAAAGUUCGUCAAACUUGGUCAUUUAGAGGAAGUAAAAGUCGUAACAAGGUUUAUCCUUCCAGUAUUACUACUGAAGCCUUGUACAUCAUCCUACCCGCGAAUCUUCACUGACUCGGUAGGCGACACUGCCAAAAUGCUGAGAACUCGCCCGAGACAAUCAGCAGCCGCCARCGCGGUCCACAGAUCAGACGGCAGUGGUCAGACGGUCACCUCGAGUGACCCGCCUGGCUAAAAUAUGACCGGUUCUAGGUAGAAAUGCCUACGAGUCCACGUUCCGUAGGUGAACCUGCGGAAGGAUCAUUAACGAUUUUGGCCCUCCGGGGCCGAUCUCCAACCCUUUGUGUACCUUACCUUGUUGCUUUGGCGAGCCGUCGUCGCCCCCCGGGGUGAUGCCGCUGGCCUCACGGCUAGUGAGUGCUCGCCGGAGUCCACCAAAACUCUGAUUUAUCAUGCAGUCUGAGUAAAUAUAUCAAAUAUAUUAAAACUUUCAACAACGGAUCUCUUGGUUCUGGCAUCGAUGAAGAACGCAGCGAAAUGCGAUAAGUAAUGUGAAUUGCAGAAUUCAGUGAAUCAUCGAAUCUUUGAACGCACAUUGCGCCCUUUGGUAUUCCGAAGGGCAUGCCUGUUCGAGCGUCAUUUCACCACUCAAGCUCAGCUUGGUAUUGGGCCAUCGUCCGGUUAAACGGACGUGCCUGAAAAUCAGUGGCGGUGCCCAUCCGGCUUCAAGCAUAGUAACUUUUAUCUUGCUUUGGAACGUCCGGAAGGUGCGCCCGCCAGAAUCCAUUUUCUCAAGGUUGACCUCGGAUCAGGUAGGAAUACCCGCUGAACUUAAGCAUAUCAAUAAGCGGAGGAAAAGAAACCAACAGGGAUUGCCCUAGUAACGGCGAGUGAAGCGGCAACAGCUCAAAUUUGAAAUCUGGCCCUUUCAGGGUCCGAGUUGUAAUUUGUAGAGGAUGCUUCGGAAUGGUCCCAGUCUAAGUUCCUUGGAACAGGACGUCGCAGAGGGUGAGAAUCCCGUAUGUGACUGGGUAACCGGCCCAUGUGAAGCUCCUUCGACGAGUCGAGUUGUUUGGGAAUGCAGCUCUAAAUGGGUGGUAAAUUUCAUCUAAAGCUAAAUAUUGGCCAGAGACCGAUAGCGCACAAGUAGAGUGAUCGAAAGAUGAAAAGCACUUUGGAAAGAGAGUUAAAAAGUACGUGAAAUUGUUGAAAGGGAAGCGUUUGCAACCAGACUUGCCUGCAGUUGAUCAGCCGGUGUUCUCACCGGUGCACUCUUCUGCAGUCAGGCCAGCAUCAGUUCGGGCGGUUGGAUAAAGGUUGGAGGAAUGUAGCUCCCCCCGGGGAGAASUUAUAGCCUCCGGCGUCAUGCAGCCUGCCUGGACUGAGGACCGCGCAUUUGCUAGGAUGCUGGC